rnacentral:tRNA from 1 species
AUAGUNAGUGGUUCAAGUCCCUCUAUCCCCA